UAAUAUAUAAAUCUACAAGCCAAUGAGACUUAGAACAUAACUUUUUACAAUGCAUGGGACAGGCUUAUUCAUUCUCACCAACUCAAAAUAAAGGUUAAUAUUGAAAGAAAGAAAAAAAUUGGUUUUGAUUCUUAAAACUACCUUUAAUUUGACUCUUUUUCAUAUAUAACACUCCAGUUGGUUAAUCAUAUUCAAAGGAAGGCAGUUACCUCACAAGUAGCUCUUAUGAUGUCAAACAUUCUAUAGCCUGAAAUUUCAACCUCAACCUUGACCUUCACUUCCCUCACAACCACUUGAAUUUUUACCCUCGCAGCCACUUGAGCUAAAAUGAAAACUCCACUUUGCUUUCAUCAGUUUUGGGGAUUGUUUUUAUACUGCUGUGGUGGCAGCUCUCAUCAGGAAUUGGAAAGUUCCUCUGACCUCAGUGAACUUUCAGGCCCCUGCACUCUACAGUUUCUCCUUUUGUGAUAUGGCCUACAAGAGGAAGAUCCCAUGCCCCAGGGAGUGAGGAGAGCCAUGGAUUUUUAUGAAGCAGGAGUCCAGAGCUGACACUGUGAGGAAGCACGGACCAGAGCCCGGCCUGUGGUCCUGCAGUCACUCUGGAAAUGACCUAGGACACCACGAGGAGGCGAAUGGGGGAAUCUGUCCCAGCUCCAGUGUCCUGCUCCAGAGUGGCUCGUGGGCCUCAUCGCGUCACUCCAUGUUAGGGCUGGCGCGUUCCCAUGGAGACAGGUGUACCUUGAGGAAAGGGUGACUGCAUUCCAUAUCCUGCUCUACAUUCUCUCAGAAACGCAAGUGGAUUAGUUUGUCCCUAAUGCAGACAGAAUAAAAAUCGUGUAGUAC
rnacentral:lncRNA from 1 species